rnacentral:rRNA from 1 species
GACGGGGCCGCACAAGCGGAGGAACAUGUGGUUUAAUUCGAUGAUACGCGAGGAACCUUACCUGGGCUUAAAUGUAGAGUGCAUUUUUUAGAGAUAGAAAUUCCCUUCGGGGCUUUCUGCAAGGUGCUGCAUGGUUGUCGUCAGCUCGUGUCGUGAGAUGUUCGGUUAAGUCCGCUAACGAGCGCAACCCUCGUCGUAUGUUAUAUGUGUCAUACGAGACUGCCGGUAAAAAGCCGGAGGAAGGUGAGGAUGAUGUCAAGUCAGCAUGACCUUUAUAUCCAGGGCUACACACACGCUACAAUGGUCUGUACAAUGGGUAGCCAAGCCGCGAGGCGGAGCCAAUCCUGAAAGCAGGCCUCAGUUCAGAUUGCAGUCUGCAACUCGACUGCAUGAAGCCGGAGUUGCUAGUAACCGCAGGUCAGCAAUACUGCGGUGAAUACGUUCCCGGGUCUU